CCAAUAGCGUAUAUUAAAGUUGUUGCAGUUAAAAAGCUCGUAGUUGAACUUCGGGGUUCACCCAUUGGUCAGGCUUAAUUGUCUGUACUGGUGAGAUGAGUCUCUACCUUCUGAGGAACUUUCAUGCCAUUUAUUUGGUGUGGUUGGAAAUCAGGACUGUUACUUUGAAAAAAUUAGAGUGUUUAAAGCAGGCUAACGUCUGAAUACAUUAGCAUGGAAU
rnacentral:rRNA from 1 species